GACAGAGGUGCCAAGCGUUAGGCGGAAUCAUUGGGCGUAAAGCGCACGUAGGCGGCCUGUUAAGUCGGGUGUGAAAGCCCUGGGCUCAACCCAGGAAGUGCACUCGAAACUGGCGGGCUUGAAUAUGGAAGAGGGUCGCGGAAUUCCCGGUGUAGAGGUGAAAUUCGUAGAUAUUGGGAAGAACACCGGUGGCGAAGGCGGCUCACUGGCUCGUAUCUGACGCUCAGGCGCGACAGCGUGGGGAUCAAACAGG
rnacentral:rRNA from 1 species